rnacentral:lncRNA from 1 species
CUUAGGUGUUACAAUAGGAUUCUAGAAUCGAUUAAGAAAGGGUUUCUAUCAUCCGUAAGAUUGAUGGUUUUAUUUCGUAUUUCCUAUAGAAUGUCAUUAACACAUGUCCUCACUAGUAACUUUUAUCAUAUGUUGUACUUUUUGUGCUUUUUAACAAUGUCAUAUUCAGUAUUUUGGUCAUUGGUCAAUCAAAGCUGUAACAAAGUCACCACAGAACAAAAAUUAACUGGUUACU